rnacentral:tRNA from 1 species
AGCAGCAUAGAGAAAUGGGUAUCAACAUGAACUCUAAACCUAUACUCGCUGGGUUCAAAUCCCAGUGCUGCUU